rnacentral:rRNA from 1 species
AGGGGGGUGCUAAUACAUGCAAGUCGAGCGGACAGAAGGGAGCUUGCUCCCGGAUGUUAGCGGCGGACGGGUGAGUAACACGUGGGUAACCUGCCUGUAAGACUGGGAUAACUCCGGGAAACCGGAGCUAAUACCGGAUAGUUCCUUGAACCGCAUGGUUCAAGGAUGAAAGACGGUUUCGGCUGUCACUUACAGAUGGACCCGCGGCGCAUUAGCUAGUUGGUGAGGUAACGGCUCACCAAGGCGACGAUGCGUAGCCGACCUGAGAGGGUGAUCGGCCACACUGGGACUGAGACACGGCCCAGACUCCUACGGGAGGCAGCAGUAGGGAAUCUUCCGCAAUGGACGAAAGUCUGACGGAGCAACGCCGCGUGAGUGAUGAAGGUUUUCGGAUCGUAAAGCUCUGUUGUUAGGGAAGAACAAGUGCAAGAGUAACUGCUUGCACCUUGACGGUACCUAACCAGAAAGCCACGGCUAACUACGUGCCAGCAGCCGCGGUAAUACGUAGGUGGCAAGCGUUGUCCGGAAUUAUUGGGCGUAAAGGGCUCGCAGGCGGUUUCUUAAGUCUGAUGUGAAAGCCCCCGGCUCAACCGGGGAGGGUCAUUGGAAACUGGGAAACUUGAGUGCAGAAGAGGAGAGUGGAAUUCCACGUGUAGCGGUGAAAUGCGUAGAGAUGUGGAGGAACACCAGUGGCGAAGGCGACUCUCUGGUCUGUAACUGACGCUGAGGAGC